UCUAGGAACAGGCCUCGGUAUCCA
rnacentral:siRNA from 1 species